rnacentral:rRNA from 1 species
GUAGGUGGCAAGCGUUGUCCGGAUUUACUGGGUGUAAAGGGGGCGCAGACGGCGCGGCAAGUCCGGAGUGAAAUCCCAGGGCCCAACCCUGGGGCUGCUCUGGAAACUGCCGGGCUGGAGUGCUGGAGGGGCAGGCGGAAUUCCUAGUGUAGCGGUGAAAUGCGUAGAUAUUAGGAGGAACACCGGUGGCGAAGGCGGCCUGCUGGACAGCGACUGACGUUGAGGCCCGAAAGCGUGGGGAGCAA